rnacentral:rRNA from 1 species
AACAAACGCUGGCGGCGUGCCUAAUACAUGCAAGUCGAACGGGGAAAGCUUUCGGGUGAGUACUAGUGGCGCACGGGUGAGUAACGCGUGGAUAAUCUGCCUUAGAGUGGGGGAUAACUAGUCGAAAGAUUAGCUAAUACCGCAUAAGACCACAAGAACUGCGGUUCAAGGGGUAAAAGGUUUUUCGGUCUAAGAUGAGUCCGCGUAAGAUUAGCUAGUUGGUAGGGUAACGGCCUACCAAGGCGACGAGCUUUAACUGGUCUGAGGGGAUGAUCAGUCACACUGGAACUGCGACACGGUCCGGACUCCUACGGGCGGCAGCAGUAGGGAAUAUUGCACAAUGGAGGAAACUCUGAUGCAGCGACGCCGCGUGAGUGAUGAAGGCCUUCGGGUCGUAAAGCUCUGUCGCAGGGGAAUAACACAAUGAAGGUACCCUGUAAGAAAGGAUCGGCUAACUUCGUGCCAGCAGCCGCCGUAAAAC